CUUAUAAACAAUAUCCAAUAAUAACAAAUCAUCUAUCUUAUCUGAACAUAUUUUAACCUAUAGAUAGCUAGCUGGUGUAAUGGUGGAGUACUCUUUAUUCUCAUGUUACCAUACAUGGUCAAGCCUUGCACUAAGCUAAAUUUCAGUUUAUCUAUGCUGUUAGAAUUGAGAAAGUUAACUACACACUUACAAUUAAAUAUGUUGCCACACAGUUAGGAAUACAGAAGUAGAAAACAGGAAAUAAGACCAACCCCCUUUAGAUAGUGAAGUUUAUAGUUCUCUGUCUAGGGUUAUAUUCACUAAGCAUUACAUAGGUAAAGUGCAUUAUUCCCAUCAAUUCUAUCACUGACCAUCUAAUUCUUCAUGCCCCUUUUUUUAGGCAUGCUUGUCCCUUCGGGCAGUUCUGGUUAUCUGAUUCACAUCAGUGGCCCAACUUUUGAUCCUGCUUCACCUGAUACUGCUUUUAGUGGGUAUGGAUUUACUUGAAAAAUAAAAGCGAGAGAUUAGCAUAGUGAAUUGGAAAAAAAGAUCACUAAUGUGAGGAUUUUGGUUAUUCAUUAUUAUAUGUAAUACUUAAUAUUUCCAAGAUUCCAAAAUUCCCAAAUAUCUAAAUUAAUACCAGAUAUCUAAAUUAAAACUUUACAGGUUGCUCCCAAAGUUACUUAUGAAAUAGAGGGAAUCCAAAAUGUAGUCCACUCACCAUGUGGACUAUUCCAAAAUGGAGUUAGUCACAUGGGGCAUGAAAAUAACACUCUCCUAAAAGUAUUACCUCAACAAAUUUCUAAAUAUAAGAAAACAAGUACACUCAAAGAGGUAUGAUU